rnacentral:sRNA from 1 species
AAAAUGUACAUAAUAAAUCUGGUGCAACUCCAGUCGAAGUUUUUGGGAAUUCGUGGCAAAUGACGUUGUGGAAGUCGCCUUUGUACGAAAAAAUACCAAAAUCAAGUUACGAAUUGUCGAAUAAUCGCAUUUAACCCAUUGUGGAAAGAAAAGAAACUCGAGUGCACUGUAUUCUGCCACAACUGCUAUUUAAUUUUUUUUAGUGUACAAAUGAAUUAAUACAGUUGUAUUCAAAAAGUUUCACAAUUAAUGCAAAACUCUCUAGAUAUGACUAUAAAAUAAUUAACUUAAGGAUCAACGAAAGCUUAACUAAGAUCCAAGUAGUGUGUAUCCAUGUAGCAGCAUGUUAUAAAUACAAUUAUUUAUGUUUGCUGAAAA